AUUUACAUGGUUUCAAAGCCAAAGCUAUAAGAUGAGAUAUAUUCAAGGAAAUUUAAUUUUCAUCCUUGCUUUUUCCACCUUGCUCUCUUCUCUACUUCCUAGGUAAUCAUUUGAUAAAAGUUUUAAAAUUACCCUCUGUAUUAGUUUGCUAGGAUUGCUGUAACAAAAUAUCACAGGCUGGGUGGCUUAAACAACAAAAAUUUAUUUCUCACAGUUCUGGAGGCUGGAUGUCCGAGAUCAAGGUGCUGGCAGGCUUGGUUUCUUCUGAGGCCUCUCCUUGGUUUGCAGCUGAUAUCAGAGCACGAUGAACUUGGCCAGUGACAAUGGAAGCUAUGUAAUUGGUGCCGCCUUCCUAGCCUCCUGGUUCCGAGCGUGGAGACAGCUGCUUUUCCACUCGCCAGCCAGCAGUGCUGCUCCAGGUGAAGCAUCUCCCAUCACAAGAAUGAGAAACAGACCAGGAGAAAGGGAAGAAAGGGACCAGCCAGAGGAGGGAUUCGAAGAACUUCCAGAUAGAAACCUCUUAAAUAAAAUGUGUCAACAUAUGAGUCCAAGGAGAGAAUCUUGCUACUCUGAAGCUGCACUGCAACUCUCAGGGUAGCAGUGGAACUG
rnacentral:lncRNA from 1 species